rnacentral:rRNA from 1 species
GGAGUGAAAAAGAACCUGAAACCGUGUACGUACAAGCAGUGGGAGCCUCUUAAUGGGGUGACUGCGUACCUUUUGUAUAAUGGGUCAGCGACUUAUAUUCUGUAGCAAGGUUAACCGAAUAGGGGAGCCGAAGGGAAACCGAGUCUUAACUGGGCGUUAAGUUGCAGGGUAUAGACCCGAAACCCGGUGAUCUAGCCAUGGGCAGGUUGAAGGUUGGGUAACACUAACUGGAGGACCGAACCGACUAAUGUUGAAAAAUUAGCGGAUGACUUGUGGCUGGGGGUGAAAGGCCAAUCAAACCGGGAGAUAGCUGGUUCUCCCCGAAAGCUAUUUAGGUAGCGCCUCGUGAAUUCAUCUCCGGGGGUAGAGCACUGUUUCGGCAAGGGGGUCAUCCCGACUUACCAACCCGAUGCAAACUGCGAAUACCGGAGAAUGUUAUCACGGGAGACACACGGCGGGUGCUAACGUCCGUCGUGAAGAGGGAAACAACCCAGACCGCCAGCUAAGGUCCCAAAGUCAUGGUUAAGUGGGAAACGAUGUGGGAAGGCCCAGACAGCCAGGAUGUUGGCUUAGAAGCAGCCAUCAUUUAAAGAAAGCGUAAUAGCUCA